rnacentral:rRNA from 1 species
CGCUAUCACUCCUACGGGAGGCAGCAGUGAGGAAUAUUGGACAAUGGGCGAGGGCCUGAUCCAGCCAUGCCGCGUGCAGGAAGAAUGCCCUAUGGGUAGUAAACUGCUUUUAUACGGGAAGAAAAAGGGCACGUGUGCCCUGUUGACGGUACCGUAAGAAUAAGGACCGGCUAACUCCGUGCCAGCAGCCGCGGUAAUACGGAGGGUCCGAGCGUUAUCCGGAAUUAUUGGGUUUAAAGGGGUGCGUAGGCGGAUAACUAAGUCUAAGGUGAAAGUCUGUGGCUUAACUAUAGAAUUGCCUUGGAUACUGGUUAUCUUGAAUUGGGUUGAGGAUGGCGGAAUGUGACAUGUAGCGGUGAAAUGCAUAGAUAUGUCAUAGAACACCGAUUGCGAAGGCAGCCAUCUGGGCCUUGAUUGACGCUGAGGCACGAAAGCGUGGGGAGCGAACAGGAUUAGAUACCCUGGUAG